rnacentral:rRNA from 1 species
UGUGAGAGCAAGAGCCCGGAGAUGGAUUCUGAGACACGAAUCCAGGCCCUACGGGGUGCAGCAGGCGCGAAAACUUUACAAUGCUGGCAACAGCGAUAAGGGAACCUCGAGUGCCAGGUUACAAAUCUGGCUGUCGAGAUGCCUAAAAAGCAUUUCAUAGCAAGGGCCGGGCAAGACCGGUGCCAGCCGCCGCGGUAACACCGGCGGCUCGAGUGGUAACCGUUAUUAUUGGGUCUAAAGGGUCUGUAGCCGGCCGGAUAAGUCUCUUGAGAAAUCUGGCAGCUUAACUGUCAGGCUUUCAGGAGAUACUGUCUGGCUCGAGGCCGGGAGAGGUGAGAGGUACUUCAGGGGUAGGGGUGAAAUCUUGUAAUCCUUGAAGGACCACCAGUGGCGAAGGCGUCUCACCAGAACGGACCUGACGGCAAGGGACGAAAGCUAGGGGCACGAACCGGAUUAGAUACCCGGGUAGUCCUAGCCGUAAACGAUACUCGCUAGGUGUCGGCCACGGUGCGACCGUUGUCGGUGCCGUAGGGAAGCCG